rnacentral:rRNA from 1 species
CCUACGGGAGGCAGCAGUGGGGAAUUUUGGACAAUGGGCGCAAGCCUGAUCCAGCAAUGCCGCGUGAGUGAAGAAGGCCUUCGGGUUGUAAAGCUCUUUUGUCAGGGAAGAAACGGCAGUUUCUAAUACAGAUUGCUAAUGACGGUACCUGAAGAAUAAGCACCGGCUAACUACGUGCCAGCAGCCGCGGUAAUACGUAGGGUGCAAGCGUUAAUCGGAAUUACUGGGCGUAAAGCGUGCGCAGGCGGUUUUGUAAGUUUGUCGUGAAAUCCCCGGGCUCAACCUGGGAAUGGCGAUGAAGACUGCAAGGCUAGAAUCUGGCAGAGGGGGGUAGAAUUCCACGUGUAGCAGUGAAAUGCGUAGAGAUGUGGAGGAACACCGAUGGCGAAGGCAGCCCCCUGGGUCAAGAUUGACGCUCAUGCACGAAAGCGUGGGGAGCAAACAGGAUUAGAUACCCUGGUAGUCCACGCCCUAAACGAUGUCUACUAGUUGUCGGGUUUUAAUUAACUUGGUAACGCAGCUACGCGUGAGUAGACCGCCGUCGGGAGGUACGGUCGCGAGAAGUUAAACGUAACAAAUAGAAGUUAGUACGGCGUGAGACGUAGCCGAACGGACGACCGACGAGGGAGGAGGG